rnacentral:tRNA from 1 species
GCCGAUGUAGCUCAGACGGUUAGAGCGCGUGCUUGGUAAGUACGAGGUCGGCGGUUCAAAUCCGCCCAUCGGCUCCA